rnacentral:rRNA from 1 species
UGGGGAAUAUUGGACAAUGGGGGAAACCCUGAUCCAGCAAUACCGCGUGUGUGAAGAAGGCCUUCGGGUUGUAAAGCACUUUCAGUUGAGAAGAAAAGCUUAAGGCGAACCUUAAGCCUUGACAUUAACAACAGAAGAAGCACCGGCUAACUCCGUGCCAGCAGCCGCGGUAAUACGGAGGGUGCAAGCGUUAAUCGGAAUUACUGGGCGUAAAGCGCACGCAGGCGGAUUAACAAGUCGGAUGUGAAAGCCCUGGGCUCAACCUAGGAAUUGCAUUCGAAACUGUUAGUCUAGAGUACAGUAGAGGAAAGUAGAAUUUCCGGUGUAGUGGUGAAAUACGUAGAUAUCGGAAGGAAUACCAGUGGCGAAGGCGGCUUUCUGGCCUGAUACUGACGCUCAUGUGCGAAAGCGUGGGGAGCAAACGGGAUUAGAUACCCCCGUAGUCC